GCCGCCCGCUUUCUUCUUGCUUAACACAUGCAAGUCGAACGGAAAGGCCCUGCUUUUGUGGGGUGCUCGAGUGGCGAACGGGUGAGUAACACGUGAGUAACCUGCCCUUGACUUUGGGAUAACUUCAGGAAACUGGGGCUAAUACCGGAUAGGAGCUCCUGCUGCAUGGUGGGGGUUGGAAAGUUUCGGCGGUUGGGGAUGGUCUCGCGGCCUAUCAGCUUGUUGGUGGGGUAGUGGCUUACCAAGGCUUUGACGGGUAGCCGGCCUGAGAGGGUGACCGGCCACAUUGGGACUGAGAUACGGCCCAGACUCCUACGGGAGGCAGCAGUGGGGAAUAUUGCACAAUGGGCGGAAGCCUGAUGCAGCAACGCCGCGUGCGGGAUGACGGCCUUCGGGUUGUAAACCGCUUUCGCCUGUGACGAAGCGUGAGUGACGGUAAUGGGUAAAGAAGCACCGGCUAACUACGUG
rnacentral:rRNA from 1 species